AGUUGGUGGGUAAUGGCGUACCAAGUGGACGAUCGAUAGGUGGUUUUAGAGGAUGAUCAGCAACACUGGGACUGAGACACGGCCCAGACUCCUACGGGAGGCAGCAGUGGGGAAUCUUUGACAAUGGGCGCAAGCCGGAUCCAGCCAUGCCGCGUGAGUGAUGAAGGCCUUAGGGUCGUAAAGUCUUUCGCCAGAGAGGACAAUG
rnacentral:rRNA from 1 species